GUGGCCCUGAAGGCGGGGCCAGCAGGAGAGGAACCCAGCGGCAGCCGUGAGCUGGGGGGUGCCCGGGAGUGGGGCAGGGAGCGGGCUUUCAGUCAAGAGCAACAGGAAGUUCAGUAAACACCCACGCCUGGAAGCCAUGCCUUUCCAGGUCUCUGGAGACAGGAUGACUCAGACCCAUGUGAGGUUCCCGGUUCCCCGAAACCCCCAGAUUCCUGAGAACAAUGCUUCACUCAUGUUUGUGUCCGUGCCUGGCACAGCCCCGGCCUUGCUGAAGAGGGCAUGCCCCCUGCCGGGCCCCGGCUGGUUCGAGCCCACAGCGGGGAGGAGGGCCAGCCCAGGCAAAGGCUCUAGGUACAUUCCUCCUGGGAGGCCCCUGGUGCCAAUGAUCAGGAAAAGAUGGAAACUAUCUGUCUUGGCUGUGAUGAAAUGCGUCAGUGUGUAAGCAGAUACGGUAGGUUUCCUGGGAGAGAGAACCAGGCAUGGCUUUCUUAACAGAAGCCAUUUUUAGGCCUAAGCCGUUUUGUGAUCUAAGCUGGGCCACAAUGCUUUGCCCUUGAACAGGUCUCAGUAAUUGAUGAUCUUAAGGGAACAAAAGAACGCAGAAACAAACGACUGUAAUCAGAGAAGAGAAGUAACAACAGCAAAAAUAAUGUUCCAGUUGUAAAGACUCCCGGUUCUGUUUCAAUGGUGACGAUUAGCCUGAAGCCGCAACCACCAGACCUACCGGAAUCUAAGGGGUGAAGAUGACCUUUUCUGACCCUCCUGACUUCAAUCAAAUGAACCCAGGACUCUGCGGGGAGACACUGCUUUGGAGAAGAUCCCCAGUGUUCCCCUUACUUGCAGCCAGAAAUAAACCCUUCCUUUCCAGA